rnacentral:rRNA from 1 species
UGGGGAAUAUUGCACAAUGGGCGGAAGCCUGAUGCAGCGACGCCGCGUGAGGGAUGAAGGCCUUCGGGUUGUAAACCUCUUUCAGCAGGGACGAAGCGUGAGUGACGGUACCUGCAGAAGAAGCACCGGCUAACUACGUGCCAGCAGCCGCGGUAAUACGUAGGGAGCGAGCGUUGUCCGGAAUUACUGGGCGUAAAGAGUUCGUAGGCGGUUUGUCGCGUCGUUUGUGAAAACCCGGGGCUCAACUUC